rnacentral:rRNA from 1 species
CGAGUGGGGAAUAACUUCGGGAAACCGAGGCUAAUACCGCAUAAUACCCACGGGUCAAAGGAGCAAUUCGCUUGAGGAGGGGACGGUCGGCCGGCGUAGUUAGUUAGUCGGGACGGUAGUCCGCCCCACGACGACGGUGAUCGGUAUCCGGCCUGAGAGGGCGCACGGACACACUGGAACUGAAACACGGUCCAGACUCCUACGGGAGGCAGCAGUGGGGAAUUUUGCGCAAUGGGGGAAACCCUGACGCAGCAACGCCGCGUGGAGGAUGAAGUCUCUUGGGACGUAAACUCCUUUCGAUCGGGACGAUUAUGACGGUACCGGAAGAAGAAGCCCCGGCUAACUUCGUG